rnacentral:rRNA from 1 species
UGGGCAACCUGCCCUGCACACUGGGAUAACCCCGGGAAACCGGGGCUAAUACCGGAUAUGACUCGACGAGACAUCUUGUCGAGUGGAAAGUUCCGGCGGUGCAGGAUGGGCCCGCGGCCUAUCAGCUAGUUGGUGGGGUGACGGCCUACCAAGGCGACGACGGGUAGCCGGCCUGAGAGGGCGACCGGCCACACUGGGACUGAGACACGGCCCAGACUCCUACGGGAGGCAGCAGUGGGGAAUAUUGCUCAAUGGGCGCAAGCCUGAAGCAGCGACGCCGCGUGAGGGAUGACGGCCUUCGGGUUGUAAACCUCUUUCA